CCCUUAGAUGUUCUGGGCCGCACGCGUGCUACACUGAGUGGAUCAGCGGGUCAGGUUGCGCGAAAGUGUUUCCUAAACUUGAAAUCCGCUCGUGAUGGGGAUUGACGGUUGCAAUUUUCCGUCAUGAACGAGGAAUACCUUGUAAGCGCGGGUCAUCAUCCCGCGCUGAAUACGUCCCUGCCCUUUGUACACACCGCCCGUCGCUCCUACCGAUUGAGUGGUCCGGUGAGGCUUUGGGAUCUGAGCGGAAAGAGCGUUUCGCUGUUUCUGCUCGGAAAACUCAGUCGAACCUUAUCAUUUAGAGGAAGGAGAAGUCGUAACA
rnacentral:rRNA from 1 species